rnacentral:rRNA from 1 species
AGGAUAAACGCUGGCGGCGUGCAUGAGACAUGCAAGUCGAACGGACGAUUCGGGCUUGCUCGAAUCGUUAGUGGCGGACGGCUGAGUAACGCGUAGGUGACCUGCCCCGAAGUGGGGAAUAACUGCCCGAAAGGGUGGCUAAUACCGCAUGUGGUCGCACGUUCAUUCGUGCGAGUAAAGCCGCAAGGCGCUUCGGGAGGGGCCUGCGUCCGAUUAGCUCGUUGGUGGGGUAAUGGCUCACCAAGGCGACGAUCGGUAGGUGGUCUGAGAGGACGAUCACCCAGACUGGGACUGAGACACGGCCCAGACUCCUACGGGAGGCAGCAGUCGGGAAUUUUUGCUCAAUGGGCGAAAGCCUGAAGCAGCAACGCCGCGUGAGGGAUGAAGGCCUUCGGGUCGUAAACCUCUUUUUCCGGGACGAUAAUGACGGUACCCGGCGAAUAAGCCACGGCUAACUACGUGCCAGCAGCCGC